CUGUUUCUAUUAAGAAAUUAAUUUACUGUUAUGAUUUUGUUAACUAACAUGCAAAUUGUUCCGGUUCUAUUUAGUAACAUGAAAAUUGGAUUAAUUUUUUCAAAUUAAUUGUUCCGGUUUUUUAAUUUCUGAAGAAACAAUUGCAUGUUACUGUUUUCGUACACUGUCAUCUUGAUUGUAAAGCGGACAUUGAAUACCAUGCCAUGCAUACUUGUUUUUCUUGUCAUGCAUUUAAGUGGUUGUGUUUAGGUGAAUUUCCAAAUAUUGCCAUGCAUGAUAAAUACUUUUAAGUAUUUGCUUGAUUCAUUUAUUGAUUACAAAGCAUCUGUUGCAAUAAAGUAAAUGUUAAUAACUUUCAUGCAAAAACAGAUUCAUGCAACGACCAAAUUUCAAUAUUAUUAUAUUCUGU
rnacentral:lncRNA from 1 species